GAGAUUGCGGAUGGUCGGCAACGUGUACGGCUCUAAUAGUAGCUCCACCUUACUAGGACUUCUAUAAAAUUGAUCAGGCGAAAUGUUUGGAUGUCUGUACCACUGAGUCAUGUGUCUCAGUCUGUGACAAGCCGGAUGCGUGUUACUGAUGAAUUCCUCCACAUGGCGUCAGCUCACAUUUUCAAUGGACAAGUAAUACGAUCUCAAACCAGAAAAAACAGUUGAUGACUUAAACUAAAAUAUUUUUAACAGUGGAACAAACUUUAAAGCCAAAAAUUGAAGAGUGCUGCACCAGUGAAGAGGAAUAUACAGAGGUGGAGGAGCAAAAUGUGGACGGCUUCGAGUUGGUGGAAUGAACCUCAUUCAAGAAUUCCUAGGCAGACCUAAAUGAACCUCUCCCAAUUGUCACUGGCUUCAUAACGGCAUGCAUGGACAAGUGUGUACCGACAGAAACAUUGAGUCUUCCCCAAGUGAGAAGCUUGGAUGAAUAAGGAGAUGUGCAAUCUCUCGGCUAGGUUUGUAGUGUUUAGGGGUGGCAACCCAGAAUCAUAAGGAGUCCAGACAGUCCUUCCAGGUGAGGCAACACUUCACCUGUGAUCUGUUGGGAGUUGUUUACUAUACCUGGUGCUCCCGAUGCGGCCUUCUCUACAUUGGUAAGACCCAACAUAGAUUGGGAGACCACUUUGUUGAGCAUGUUCAUUCCAUCCACAAAAAGCAGAACUUCACAGUAACCAACCAUUUUAAUUCCAAUCCCCAUUCCCAUUCUGACAUGUCAGUCCAUGGUCUCCUCUACUGCCACUAUGAGGCCACUCUCAGGUUGGAGGAGCAACACCUCAUAAUCCAUCUGGGGUAGCCUCCAACCUGAUGGUAUGAACUUCGAUUUCUCCAACUGAUUUUUCCUCCUCCGCUUCCCGCUUCAAUUCCUCAUUCUGACCCCCUUUUCUCUUCUCCUCACCUGCCUACAACCUCCCCCUUGUACCCCUUCUCCUCACCUUUCUCCCACGGUCUACUCCACUUUCUUAACAGAUUUCUUCUUCUCCAGCCCUUUACCUUUUCCACCUCUCACCUCCUUGCUUCUUACUUCAUACCCCCUCCCCCACCCACCUGGCUUCUCCUAUCACUUUUACCUUGUACACCUUUCCGACCCCUCGCCGUCUUCUGGCUUGUUCCCCCUUUCUUUCCAGUCCUGACGAAGAGUCUUGGCCCAAAAUGUUGACUGUUUAUUCAUUUCCAUAGAUGCUGCCCAACCUGAGUUCCUCCAGCAUUUUGUGUGUGUUACUACAGUUUGUUUCUCUUUUGAAUACCACUUAUGAUGCUGUUGCAAGUAAGUUUUUCAUUGUGCCUGUUCAUACAUGUAUUGUGCAUACAGUAUGACAAAGUUGACUUUGACUGACUGUCCAUUUAUGCGUAUAUAAUCCUUCAAAGCUCUGGCUCAUUUACAUCAUGAGUGCCUUCAAUGCAAAGUCACAGGCAGGUCACCAACUGCAAAGUCUUUGGAGUGGUGAUUAAUAUGCUAGUUGCACCAGCAACUCUCACAGUCUGUGAAAAGAUUUUAACAAAAAUCCAUUUCUGAGAAUAUAAUUUUCUCCUCAUUUUACUCUGGUUAAUAAUCCCAGCACAUUAGCUAAGCAAUUACUCUAUAUUUGAUUGUAGUAAUUUUUAGCACAAUUUUUGCUGGUGCUGUAAUAUGUCAUUGAUUUACCAUGUAAAUUCCAUGUGUUAACUUUAGUGGAAAGGUCAGUGAUUUGCAAUUUGGAGUAAAAUGUUGCUCUUCCUUAAAUUAAGACUAGAGUAAUCAAAGCCCAUUGCAGCAAAUGUCUGCCCAUGUAGUAAUCACCUCGAAAACAAAGGGCUAUGUAUUUUCCUGAUGAAGU